GAUUUUCGUCCCUGCCUGUACCCCUGUAUAUAGCCUCGUUAUUGUUAUGUUAUUGUGUAAUUUUGGAUUCUUUUUAUAUUUUGUUUAUUUGCUAAAUAUUUUCUUAACUCUUCUUGAACUGCACUGUUGGUUAAGGGCUUGUAAGAAAGCAUUUCUCGGUAAGGUCUACACUUGUUGUAUUCGGCGCAUGUGACAAAGAAAGUUUGAUUUGAUUUUGAUUUGUAUUACUAUAUCCAUAUACUAGUAUUCACUGUAGUAUUUAUUGUAGUGUUUUUGCGGACAUGACUGUAGUAUACUGUAUUACUUGCUGUAGUGUUUUUGUUUUAUUAUCUUUGACAUAGAAAUGGAAACCUACUGGACAGAAACUAAAAGAGCAAAUUCUCCAUAACCUGUAGGCAGAUGGUCGCAUGCGGUUGGACACAUGGAGGAGAGAAUCAUUUUCGCAGUAUCCUCAAAACCGUGUCUUUUUGACACAACUGCUGACAGCUACAGGGACAUAAACACAAAAAAUCCUGCUUGGAGACAAGUGUCCACGAUAGUAGGAUUGCCAGGUCAGUUUAGUAGUGGGCAUGUGCCAGAUGUGGCUAGUUAACGUGACCCACAACAAUGGGUCCUGGAGAAGACUAGCCUACCUUCAUCAGAGCAGAAGGCACCCCAAUGUUCUUUCCAUUUGGUAACAUUGCAUAAUUAAAAAAGGAUUCUAAACCAACUUUGGGAAAAGUUAUAGUCCUAAUGAACAUUCUGUAAAAGUACAUCUGAUGUCAAAUAGGGACUAUUAACUAGAGAGCCCUUUAGCUAGCUAGGUUGCACAUAAAAACAAUGUAUCAAAUAUAAAUCAAUUAUGGUAUCAAAGGCUUUAAAAAUGUACUAGAAUGUAGCUUACCGUAGACAAAUCACCAGGCGUUCAACUGGGCUGAUGGACUCCCGGUAGUUGGUAUCCAUCCGGAUGAUCCUGGCUCCAACCAUCUGAAGCAGGUGAUCGAACUGGCUUCGGUCCAGACGAAAGUAACUUCGGAAUUCCUCUCCAAGCAGUCGAAGCUCUUGAAUGAGACGGUGGAACUCCUCUGCCUGCUUUCGGGACUUUAACCAUCUCUGGACCCAUACAGACCUGCGCUUUCGGCGGGGCUGAUCCCGGCCCAACAGCGCGAUCAAGACCACCUUCCUCAACGUUGGUCUCAUUGUUGAAAGAGCCGACUCUGCUAUCUUGACUAUUAUGCAUUUUGCUCCAAAGCUGCAUUUUGGAGGGAAAUUAUAUUAUAGGCUCUCACAAUUAAUUUGUGGAUGUCAUCGAAUAAAUAAUAUACUUGGCAAAUAAAUGAAUAAAAAAAUGUAAAGAAA
rnacentral:lncRNA from 1 species